rnacentral:rRNA from 1 species
AACGAACGCUGGCGGCGUGCUUAACACAUGCAAGUCGAACGGACCAGUGCUUCGCACUGGAGAUUCCAAGGUACAAGUGGCAAAUUCCGAGUUUGGAGUUUGGCAUUUUGGUGGUUUGGAGUUUACCAGUGCGGAGUGCUGGUUAGUGGCGGACGGGUGAGUAACACGUAGGCAACCUACCCUCAGGAGGGGGACAACAUCGGGAAACCGGUGCUAAUACCGCGUAAGACCACGAGUUGGAAUACUGGUGGUAAAAGGAGCAAUCCACCUGGGGAUGGGCCUGCGGCCUAUCAGGUAGUUGGUGGGGUAACGGCCUACCAAGCCGAUGACGGGUAGCCGGUCUGAGAGGACGAACGGCCACACUGGAACUGCGACACGGUCCAGACUCCUACGGGAGGCAGCAGUGGGGAAUUUUGGACAAUGGGGGCAACCCUGAUCCAGCCAUUCCGCGUGAGUGAAGAAGGCCUUCGGGUUGUAAAGCUCUUUCGGCAGGAACGAAACGGUCGUCGCUAAUACCGAUGGCUAAUGACGGUACCUGAAGAAGAAGCACCGGCUAACUACGUGCCAGCAGCCGCGGUAAUACGUAGGGUGCGAGCGUUAAUCGGAAUUACUGGGCGUAAAGCGUGCGCAGGCGGUUUUAUAAGACAGAUGUGAAAUCCCCGGGCUUAACCUGGGAACUGCGUUUGUGACUGUAAGACUCGAGUGUGGCAGAGGGGGGUGGAAUUCCACGUGUAGCAGUGAAAUGCGUAGAGAUGUGGAGGAACACCGAUGGCGAAGGCAGCCCCCUGGGUCAACACUGACGCUCAUGCACGAAAGCGUGGGUAGCAAACAGGAUUAGAUACCCUGGUAGUCCACGCCCUAAACGAUGCGAACUAGGUGUUGGAGAAGGAGACUUCUUUAGUACCGCAGCUAACGCGUGAAGUUCGCCGCCUGGGGAGUACGGUCGCAAGAUUAAAACUCAAAGGAAUUGACGGGGACCCGCACAAGCGGUGGAUGAUGUGGAUUAAUUCGAUGCAACGCGAAAAACCUUACCUACCCUUGACAUGCCUGGAAUCCUGCUGAGAGGCGGGAGUGCUCGAAAGAGAACUGGGACACAGGUGCUGCAUGGCUGUCGUCAGCUCGUGUCGUGAGAUGUUGGGUUAAGUCCCGCAACGAGCGCAACCCUUGUCGCUAAUUGCCAUCAUUUAGUUGGGCACUUUAGCGAGACUGCCGGUGACAAACCGGAGGAAGGUGGGGAUGACGUCAAGUCCUCAUGGCCCUUAUGGGUAGGGCUUCACACGUCAUACAAUGGUCGGUACAGAGGGUCGCCAACCCGCGAGGGGGAGCCAAUCCCAGAAAGCCGAUCGUAGUCCGGAUUGGAGUCUGCAACUCGACUCCAUGAAGUCGGAAUCGCUAGUAAUCGUGGAUCAGCAUGCCACGGUGAAUACGUUCCCGGGUCUUGUACACACCGCCCGUCACACCAUGGGAGUGGGUUUCACCAGAAGUAGGUAGCCUAACCGCAAGGAGGGCGCUUACCACGGUGGGAUUCAUGACUGGGGUG